rnacentral:miRNA from 1 species
GGCCUCAUCGGCCGGAAGGGAUUCCUUCCGGUCGAUGAGGCUGUUCCACCUCAUUGAUCGGAAGGAAUUCCUUCCGGUUGAUGGGGUU